CCUACGGGGGACAGCAGUGAGGAAUAUUGGUCAAUGGCCGAGAGGCUGAACCAGCCAAGUCGCGUGAGGGAAGACGGCCCUACGGGUUGUAAACCUCUUUUGUCGGGGAGCAAAGCGAGUCACGUGUGACUCAUUGAGAGUACCCGAAGAAAAAGCAUCGGCUAACUCCGUGCCAGCAGCCGCGGUAAUACGGAGGAUGCGAGCGUUAUCCGGAUUUAUUGGGUUUAAAGGGUGCGCAGGCGGAGGUGCAAGUCAGCGGUCAAAUUGCGGGGCUCAACCCCGUACUGCCGUUGAAACUGCAGCCCUUGAGUGCGCGAGAAGUAUGCGGAAUGCGUGGUGUAGCGGUGAAAUGCAUAGAUAUCACGCAGAACUCCGAUUGCGAAGGCAGCAUACCGGAGCGCAACUGACGCUCAUGCACGAAAGCGUGGGUAUCGAACAGGAUUAGAUACCCGUGUAGUC
rnacentral:rRNA from 1 species